rnacentral:rRNA from 1 species
GACCUCAAGUCAUGUGAGAGUACCCGCUGAACUUAAGCAUAUCAAUAAGCGGAGGAAAAGAAACUAACAAGGAUUCCCCUAGUAACGGCGAGUGAAGCGGGAAGAGCACAAAUUUAAAAUCUACCUGGUUUUUAGGUCGAGUUGUAAUUUGAAGAUACGUUUUUGACGUUCUGGGUUGGACUAAAUCCUUUGGGAUAAGGUAUCAUAGAGGGUGAGAAUCCCGUAUAUACCAACCGUAGGGAUGUUAUUAAAUACGUUUCUAAGAGUCGAGUUGUUUGGGAAUGCAGCUCUAAAUGGGUGGUAAAUUUCACCUAAUGCUAAAUAUAAGCGAGAGACCGAUAGCGAACAAGUACAGUGAUGGAAAGAUGAAAAGAACUUUGAAAAGAGAGUUAAAUAGUACGUGAAAUUGUUGAAAGGGAAACGAUUGAAGUCAGUCAUGCUGGUGGGAAUCAACUUAGGGGAAACUCUGGGUGCACUUCUUCGCUUGGCAGGUCAACGUCGAUUUUGAAUGUCAUAAAAUAACUGGGGGAAGGUAGCUCUUUCGGGAGUGUUAUAGCCCUUGGUAGAUGUGAUGUCUGGGAUCGAGGAUUGCAACGGAUACCUUUCGGGGCUAACCGCCUGAUCUCUAAUUGGUGUUGGGUUAUGGACAGCAUGCUGACCGUGAUCUAAUUACUGGUUAAAAGGUUAGAGCGUGUAUAAAUUUGUUAAGGACGCUGACGUAAUGGCUUUAAACGACCCGUCUUGAAACACGGACCAAGGAGUCUAACAUGUAUGCGAGUGUUAGGGUAUUAAACCCAGACGCGAAAUGAAAGUGAGUGUAGGUGGGAUCCUUUAUUGGAGCACCAUCGACCGAUCUUGAGAUUUAUCGAUAGAAUUGAGUUAGAGC